rfam:Tupaia chinensis contig3960, whole genome shotgun sequence.
GCCACAUGUUUUCAUUUUGAGCAGUGAAUGCUUUGUGCAGUGAUGACUUUAACCUAAUCACCCUUAACUGAAGGCU